GUGUUUGGAUGCAAUGUGAAAUUGAAUUGUAAUAUUCUAGUAACUCUAUUUGGUUAGGUCGAUGGCUUUCUCUAUUUGCAGGCAAGCUUUGGACCUCUUUGGCAACCUCAUUCAUGAUAACUGGAGGUUAAGACCUGUAUUAGGCUAUUUUGCACUUGUGAACCAGUAUGGCGUCUAAGUUUUUACGUGCUAAUGGAAUUAGUAAGUUCAAAUUAUGAGAGGAAACUGUCAAUUUACUUGGAAAAUCGGACGUACUGUUUCAGUCCUAAGCAUCGACCCUUUACUGAACUAGUUCAAAGGACAUCCAAUUGGGCUCUAGAUGAGAAAGAUAAAAUCAAGAGAAUUUUGAGGAUGCUUGUAUGAUAAAGAUGGGACUUUUGUGAUUUAAUGGGAAGCUGAAAAGCACAUUCCACACUAUCCGAUGAAAGCACAUUCCGCACCAUCACACCGCAAAAGGAUGAGACCAAGGUAUGUAUGAUGAUCUAACACCUGAUUUAAGAACAUGUAGAGGGCUUAAUUAUUUCUACAAAUGCAUGUAUGGCCCAGCUGGGCACAUGUCUAUGAUGCCAUGUGGCCCACCUUAUAUAUUGGGGGGCCUGGAAAUCGAGUCGUUCAGUGUAUGAAACAAAAUGAAUGGCAAAACCAAGUUGGUCGGAACUGAUGGUGGGAUUGAGGCCUACAUAGUAGCUGCGAUGCAGGGCCUUGCAUUAUAUCAAAAUCGAAGAAAGGGUUGU